UACGUAGGGGGCUAGCGUUGUUCGGAAUCACUGGGCUUAAAGGGCGCGUAGGCGGGCCAGCCAGUCUGUGGUGAAAGCCUCCAGCUUAACUGGAGAAGUGCCGUGGAUACUGCUGGCCUCGAGGAGGAUAGGGGCAUCUGGAACGGUCGGUGGAGCGGUGAAAUGCGUUGAUAUCGACCGGAACUCCGGUGGCGAAGGCGAGGUGCUGGGUCCUUUCUGACGCUGAUGCGCGAAAGCCAGGGGAGCAAACGGG
rnacentral:rRNA from 1 species